GAAGGCAUUGAAGAUUAAUAGGAGAAGUCAUGUAUCUCAACACCUUUGGACUCUGCCCAUUAUCCAUUGGAGAAUAAUAAAAGAAACUCUUGUAUCUCAAACCUCUGAAUCUUGCCCAAAAACCACAGGAGAAGAACGAUAUAAUCCAACCAAUGAUAUGCAUGGGAAAUCAUAUGAGAAACCAAUGCUAUUAGAACCUUGAGAAGUGCGAGACAAACUAAUUACAAAAUUCAUAGUAAUCCGCUCUUACUUCCGCUGUGGGAUAGGUAGCUUCUAAAGAAAUCCACGUGAUCUCAAGUUCUAGGACUCCACCUACUGACAACACAAACAUCGAGAUCUGAAUUCCUCUUUGUCCCUUUUCAUUCCACACCACCAGCAAUGCUGUCUCAGAUCUCUACAUCUUAUAUGCACCAGGAUGAAUGGAAUAUCUAGAGCGAGUCUUUUGCAAUAUCAACAAAAUCAAAUCACCAAUCCUCAAAUAUCAAGACACCCUCUGGGUCCAAGGUAAUCUUUCUAUCCUCAUCCCUCGAUAUCCGAUUUCUAAUGCCAGACAUUCUACUUUCCUCAAAAUGCCGCCCUGAAUCUAUUCCAACAAAUAAGAAUUAGCCUCAACAUGGGAAAGAAUCCUCCUAGAAUAAAAAAUAUCAAGUUUAACCAACCUUUUGCUAUAGGUGGAUGUCUAAGGAUACUUGUCGACUAAAAGGAAAACCAAAAUCCCCAUACUCACCACUACUAGAAAUUAAAUUUUUUUCGAUAGCUAAUGCAGUCGAAAAAUAAGACAUUUUUGAUGACAUUCCAACUGUUUUAGGGUAGGCGGAAUAAGAGUUUGUCGAAAAAAUAUUUUCGACUACGGCAAUCGCAAAAUGUAAAUUAUAGAAUGACCAAAUAAAAAAUAAUAUUAUGACUAGUGUAGUCGUAAGAUUAAUAAAAUAAUUAAAAAUAAUUACGUAAUAAUUAUAAAUAUUCAGACUACAGUAGUCGAAAGAUUAAUAAAUAAUUAUAGAUAAAAUAUUUUCCACUACUGUGGUUGGAAACUAAUAAUGUAAUUAUUUAAUAAAUAAAAUCUUCGACUACGGUGGUCUGAAAUUAAUAAAAUAGUUCGUUCAAAUUAUUCCGAUAGGUGUCACUUAACUUUUUCUCAAAAAAGCUUUUACUAUUCUGACCAUUGUAGUCGAUUUUUUUUUUUUGUUUUGCCAGCAAUGGUGCUCUUUUUUUUUUUUUUUUUUAGCUUUCACUGCUCUCAUAUUACAAACAAUAGCAACAUAUCAAAUGUAUUUUUCAUAGUAGGAUCUAAAAAUUAUGAACACAACCUAAAAAAAUUCAACCACUUUGAAACAUCCAAAACAGACAUCAAGUCAAAUAGUUUAAACAUUCUAAAACAAGUUUAGGACCAAAUGUCACAAUCCAAAACAAAUAUCGAGUCGAAUAGUUUAAACAUCCCAAGAGAACUGUAAGUUUAAACGUCACAAUCAAAAACAAGAACCAACAACUACAAUCUAAUUAUCAUCAAAUUCACUAUACCAACAGCUACAAUCUAAUUAUCUUCAAAUUCACUAUCUUCCUCAUCAUCAAAUACUUGAGGCAUGUGCUUCUUGACUAACUCCUUAAAUUUAGCAAAUUUGACAAACUUAGCAUUAUUAACUGCACAUUGUUGCGUCAAAUCUUUAAUUUGCUUUGUCAUCGCUUCUAUUUCUUUCAUAUUUUGUGAAGUAGAAAAGGAGCUAGGAAACAAUGGGGAAGGACUAUUUGAGGAUUGGUGAACUCCAAGCCCAUAGGUUCUACCUUUAUUUGGACCACCAACCACAACUGUUCAUAUUUUAGUCAUAUCUGCAAGUGAUGGUUGGACCACGAUACCAUCCUCUGAAGUAGGUUGAGUUUGACGCCAAUCUUCCUUGCCUUAUUGAAAUCCUUCCAAAAAGAAAAAUAAUUGUCAUUAUGUAAACAAGCUAAAUUGAAUAAUGAGAAAUCAACAUAUGUAAAAUUAUUAUUUUACAAUGUAUUCUUAGCACGCGUUUCGAUCCAAUCUUCUCUUGUACCAUCCUUCUUUUUCUUCUUAUGCGUCUCUUCGAAGAUCUAAGAGGUACAUCUUUUCCCCCAUCUUGUGGAAAAAAAAAUGAUUUCCUGAGGCGGAAAAAAAGAUAUCAAAUUUCUACCAAGAUAACUGGAAGUUCCAACUAAUAAGAAGCCUAAUGAACCUAAAAAAAGGAUAAAGGCGCAGCAGAAAUUACUUAUUUUUCGACACCCCGUUAUAAGUUCUAUAUGUUCUGAUCGCCAAGUCAUACUUAAGUAUUAUUGCAAAAUUUAAGAAAAGAGAUACCACAGUUAUCAAAUCUUUGAAGAGAUUAGAGUCUUUUAACUAUAGCAAAGAAACACCUUGUUGAAGCUACUGGAAUAUGAUGCAGAUUCACAUCUCAAGGCAGAGGUGCAAAUUCACUUUAGAAAUAAAACAAAUAAGAGCCACAUAAUAUGUCAAACAAUAUUACCAAUCUUCAUCGGUGGAUAACAAAACUCAUCGAACCUCCAGUGUGCAACGAGCCACCCAUUUUAGAGGCUCGAUUUGCCUUUGCCCGUUCACGCUUCCCUUUAUAUUAGGAAUGUCUCAUAUUUCCAAGAACAUUACCCAAACUUUCUUCGCAAUCCAAUCAGGUCUUCUCAUUUUCUUCCGGGCCUCAUACAAGUGUUCUUUGAUCCGUAGAGAUGCUUUCAAUUGGAAAAUGACAUCUAUUUUAUUUUCAUGACAAGACUUCGAUGCACACUUCGCCUGCAAAAUAGUUUAAUAUAAAGUCAUGAAAUGAGUCAAUGGAUACAAAGGAAAAACUACUUAAUCAUCCACAAUAAGCACACCAUAGUACAUGAACUUGAAAAUAUAAGUGAGCAAUAUGUAUAAUUAAGCAUAAACUACGAGUAAUAGAUUAUUAAUAUAAAAGUAUUGAAAUUCAACGAGGAAAUAACUUGAACCUAGAUGAGCAACACCACCAAAGUUAUUUCCAGCAAGGUGUGCCAUAAGUAUUUGAAGAAUUUUUGGACUAAUUAAUCAGAUUUAACCAAAAAAUCCCACAACAAUCAUAAUACACCAAAGUUAUAGUAAAAAAAAUGCAAAUAUCAACUCUAAAUCCCCAAAAAUGUUCAACUGUUCUUCCUCUUCUCCAACAAACUCCCCUAAAACACAAAGUUAUUACCCCCUCUAAAAAAAUUGGGCACAAACACCUGCUAUAUGUAUAUGAAAACCCCUUUACAGUUAACAUGAGACCAUACAAACUGAAAGAUAUAAAAAGCAUAACAUUAACCCCUAAUUAGAUCCCAAAAUUGAUAUUCUAUAGCUCAACACAAAUCCCUUUGGUAUAUUCUGAUUGAUUAUUCUGAUAUUUGUCAGUUGGAUCUAGUAAAUUUUUCCGGGAUUUCUUCAAAUACUUAUGACACACCUUGCUGGAAAUAUAUCCAACUUGUAAUAUAGUCAUAAUUGUAAGGUUAUUUAUAAUUUUGAGUUUCUUUUGUAUAAUGAAACGUACUACCUUUCCUGCACUUCACUGCUGGUUCUUGAUAAACCACAUCAACUUCACAUAAUCGCACAAUAACAAACUGACUUAUAUCAAGACAAACCCAAGUUUCCAAGCAAUCAACAGAAUGAGAAAAUAAACACCAAAUUCCAAGAACCCCAAACAACAAAAUUUCCCAUUUUUUUGGGAUUUGGUAAAAACAAUAAGUCUUAUCAUACCAGAAAAGAUAGGGUUUAGGGUUUAGGGUUUAGGGUUUAGGGUUUAGGGUUUAGGGUGUGCCAAAGUACAAAAGGUUUUUUCACUUCAUAUUUUACAUUGAACUACAUAGCACAAUAAUAAAUAUCACCAACUAGUUUAAAGGAAUUAACACUAGUUUGUAAAUCUGAAUAUCUUCCAUAGGUUUUUUGAAAUAUAAUAUAUCAAUUCUACUUAGAGACUCAGUGUGCUGAUUUUUUGUGUAGCUCAUAUGUACCAGUACUGCUCCAUUUUGAAUCUAAAUAAUUGAACAUAAGCCUAUCCCAUAAUUCUAAAGUGGACGAGUUCUAACCUCACAGAUAUUUCCUUAACACGUAAAGAUUAAUUUCAAGUCUGGAAUAACAAAUUAAGUAAAAUUAUCCAAUUCCAGUCAUCAUUAGCACAAGAACAAUAUUAUAAUAAAUCAAAUCUAGUCAUCAUUAGCACAAGAACAAUAUGGAUACACACAUACUACAUAAAGAAGAAAGAUUUGGCAACUAUGGAGGCGCCUAAACAAGCUUCUUGGAUGAUAAGAAAAAUUCUAGAUAUGAGGAAACAUUUGCCUAUUUUAAAUGCCAACCAACAAAUCUUUAACAAAGGUAAAUUGUCAUACCUUAGCUCGAAGGGCAUCUAACUUGUAGACAUCACAAUAAUCCACAUGUGUUAAAAGUACUUCAAGGCUGAGAAAAAGAUAGUACACAUGAUGUUUGCUCACAAGAGCUGCCUAACUGAGAGUCCAUGUAUUAUAUUGUGUAAUAUGAAUAGGGGUAAUAGUCCAAUUCAACAUGAUUCAGAAAAAUCUUAAGAUAAAAAAUCAAAAUUGUACAAAUACGUGGGAAGAAAAUGUUACAUGCACUCCUAGACAACUAGUUACUGAUAUUAUUGGGAAGGAGAAACCGCUAAAACUCUUAAGAAAGCUCUUGGUCAGACCAACAAGAAUAAAAGAGAUACUGGAAAAAUAAGGCAAGAAAAAGAGAAAAAGAAGUCUACUGGUUUUGUUCUAUUGACUAAAUAAGAUAGUUUAAAUAUUCCUCCCUCCCCCACCCAGCUUGGAUCAGCCAGCAAAUGUCUAAUGUAAUCUCAACAUAAUUCAUACUAGUUCCAGCACAGUUUAUGUAGACUUGAAUGAUGAAUACAGAGUUGUCAACUCCGAAGAUGAAUUUGAGAAAUACAAACAACUUAUAAUGGAAGGGGAGGUAGAAGAAGAGCUCAAUGAAUACUUGAUCAAAGCAUUUGGUUCCACAUAUAAUAGUGAAUUACAAGAGAAGGUGAAACAAGUGUAUAAUCAACAAGGGUUAUCACUCAAAGACGAAUCAUGAAAGGAUCACAAAUCAAUAAAAGGCUAAUGAUUAGUACUUUCAUUUGGAAUGCCAGGAGUAUCAACACCAAAGGAGCCUUGGAAAGAAUCUAAAACCUUGUCAAACAAAAAACUAAAGUUCACAAAGGAAGAGAAGAAUAUUAAUGAAGAGGUCUUAAAUUGCAUUACAAGAAUAGUUGCAAAGGAUUAGAAUAUACCGUAAACUGAUUCCACAUUAGAAUUUUUAUUUUGUAUGGAAUCUUAUUCCAACUACCCCACAUCUCUUUAAAAAUGGUUUAGUUAAUUCUGUAACCAUAUGCCCGAAGCUAUAUGUGGGAAUGAACUUGCAAUAAAACUAUAUUAAACCAUCUUAGCUUUCAAAUUUUAAAAAUGAAGGAAAAACAUAAGGGUUGCUUACCCAUCACCACCAGUGACAAUAAUUAGCCUCCCAAAAUUGUCAUAUUCUAAUACCUCUUUAAAUUUCAGAUUCUGGGAGGCAGCUGCUGUAGCAUUAGACGCUGUAGCACUAUUAAUAAAGGGAGAUGAUGUGCUAGGACCUUUAAUUCUCAAUACAGAAAGGCUAAGUGUGGAUGAUGUAGAAGGCACAAAUAAAGAGCUACUAUGCAGACUAUUAUGAGGAGAAGUGAUGUGGAACUGGUCAGAUGGUAGCGGCAUAAAAAUGCAUUUGGUAGUGAAAUAGUUGACUAGGAGGAGGAGGAAAAUUUGCAGUAUCUGGUGGAGAAGUUGUGGUAAUAGGUGGUGGUGGUGGUGUAUAUUGACCUGCAGGAGGAUUAUCAGGUCCUUUCUUACUUUUCUUACGUUGUCCAUUACCAUUACCCUUUUGCGCCAUUAAUUUUUUUUACUAACCACCUGAAGAAGAAAGAACAACCAAAUUAGAAAACAACCUAUUUUUCAUAAAAGUAAAUUUCAACAUACAAAUCAGUUAUGUAAUGAAUGAUAGAAAAUAAUUACUUUGUGCUUGUAAGGGACAACAACUAAGAUUUCUCAACCAUUAUCAAUUAAAACAUUUAUGUUUUUCCAUCAUUUCAGAAAUCUUAAAAUAAUGGAUGAAUUAAUAUAGUUAAGUAGUACCGAUUAAACAAAACAGACAACACAUAUAUACUACAAAAAUUCACCACUGCUAUUUAAUCAAACAACUAUCAAUGUUCUUACCGCCACUACAAAUGUUAACAGAAAAAAGACACUAUAUUGUCAAGUAAAAUAGCAGAAAGUACAAACUAAAAUACAAUUUAAGACCCUGUUGCUACACAUUACUACUAUUAAUAGCAUUUCAAUCCUCAUUGCUUGAUUCAUAGUCAUUCAUUAAUUCUUCGUCAUCGCUUGAUUCAUAGUCAUUCAUCAAUUCUUCCUCAUCACUUGUUUCAUUUUCAUCAAGUAACUAUUCCUCACUUGUAUCAUUUUUAUCGAGUGACUCUUCCUCGCUUAUUUUAUUUUCAUUAGUUGGAUCUUGUCUUUUGCCCCGAAUGUUCCUUCUCCAUAAUCAUUAACAUUCAAUCUAAGUUCAGAAGGAUCAAAUUUUUCAUAUAGGCCUUUACUAUGCUGCAACUCACUUGCUAAUUCAUCAUCCACCCUUUCUUCAACACUUGAAAUGUCAUUCUGAUACGCUACAUCCAAUGUAUCCUCUACAUCAACUCUACCCACCAGCUUUGUUUUUAUAACUACCCACCUUGCAGAUUUUUUCUUACACAAAGGAUAAGGAGCAUAAUACACUUGUUUCACAUUUUAUGUAAUGACAAAUAAAUCAUAGAGUUCAUACUCCCUUGUAUGCUUAAUUUCAAUAAUUUUGUAUUGAAGGUGCACCUUUGUACCUAACCUAGCAUAGAAUCGUACCACUUAUACCAACAGAGUACCAACUUCUUUUUUGGCCAACCAACAUGAUAAUCGAGUUCUAAAAUCUCAAGAAGCAUACAGUAAUAAUCAUCACCACCAUCACCUUUAACCCACACCUUACUAUUGUUUGUUUUCUUUCCCUUAAAGAACUCUUCCGUAUGAAAUUUGUACCCAUUGACAGAGUACCUAGAAAAAUUUAUGACUUUAUCAUUAGGUCCCUAAGCUAUAUGAUGUAAGAAUUGGUCAUUUGGGUCAUAAUUAACUGAAUUAUGAACCUAUAAAAAGUUCAAACAAAGUUAGAACUUAAAUAUACAUAAAACUGAAUAAAAGUGUAAAUUGUGUUAAAUAUUAAAGUUACACUUACAUUUUCACUAAACCACACUGAAAACAUAGGAUAAACAGCAGCAUGCCCAUGCAAAGCCACAAAGUAGUUGUUCGACAAAGUUAUGACUUUCAUUAGUUAAAACUUAGAUAGACCUUGAAUGAUUGCUGCUAAUAUAAAGAUACUCACUUAUAAAAAGGUAGGACCUCAGGGAAAUUUAAUAAUACAUGUGUUGUAGCUGACUUAAACUCCACCUCAUUCAAAUAUUAAGCUGGACCAAGUUUCGGACUUCCUUUACCUGGUUGAUUGAAUAUUAAAAAUGGUGGUGCUGAAAGAUCUGUAUUGUGUCCAUCAUCAUGCCUAUUACGUCUGUUUCUUAGACAUGACACAUCAUGUUCGAAAUAAUAUGAACAAAAAUUAGAGGUAUCUUUAGCCAAAUAAACCUUACAUAUUGACCCCUCAAUACAUUUGCCAAUGGUCCUGUAUAGUAUGAUCUUUUAGAUGAACUUAUAUACAUCCAUCUACACUGAAAAAGCCCUCCAAGUCGUGCCUCUCGCACAAGGUGAAUUGGAUAAUGCUUUAUAACAUCAAGAAAACCAAGAGGAAAAUUUUUUGCCAACUUGUUUAAGGUUAAGUGAAUAUUGAUAUCAAUCAAAGAUAGGUUAUCCUCCCUUAAUGUGUUAGAACACAAAUCUUUGAAAAAUAAGCUUAUCUCUGUUAUGGGUUCUAUAUUUUAUUGGGCUAUGCACUAAAUGCAAUAGGCAUUACUGACUCCAUGAAAAUGUGACAGUGAUGGAUCUUCAUAGACGUCAACUAACCUUUUUUCAUGUCAACACACCUGGAUAAAUUUGACGCAUAUCUAUCUGGCAUUCUCAAAUUCUUAACCUAAUCACAAAUCGCUCUUCUAUCAUCUAAAAUGAAUGUGUAACUAGCCUUGAGAUUCUAAACCUUAUUGUUUAACUAUGUCGGGCACAACUCGCCAAUAAUACUCCUUUAAGUCCAUCCUGGCCUUCAAGUUAUCUUUUGUUUUGUUACUUACAUCCAUCACAGUAUUAAAUAAGUUGUCAAAAAAGUCUUUUUCAAUAUGUAUGACAUCCAGAUUUUGAGGCAGAAGAUUAUGCUUUCAGUAAUCUAACUCCCAAAAUAUGCUUCAUUUGGUCCAAUUAUGUGUAACACUAUCCUGGAUGGUGGAGACUCUGUUACCUCUAGCAGAUUCCUCACUCUAUCCCAAAUUUUUUCUCGCGACAAGAUUGGUGGUGGCUUCUCAAAAUCAGACUUAUUCUUUAUAAAAUCACUAGUAUUUCUCCUAAACUCAUGUUGCAUCGGCAAGAAUUGACGGUGACAGUCAAACCACGAGUUUUGACCCUCAUUUUUCAAAGUGAAUGCUUUUGUGUCUUCCAUACUACAAGGACAAGCUAACUUUCCCACAGUCGACCACCUAGACAAUAUUUCAUAAGCAGAAAAGUCAUUUAUAGUCCACAUCAAAGCAUCACAUAAUCUAAAGUUUUGUUUGAUUGGUACAUCAUAUGCUUCCACACCUUCGUGCCAUAAUAAGUUCAACUCAUUAAUUAGUGGUUGCAUAUAUACAUCAAUUAAACAUUUUGAUUACAAGGACCUAGAAUAAUGUAAGUUAGAAAUAUACAUGGAUUUGUCAUACAUAACUCAGGUGGGAGAUUAUGAACAGUCAUAAAUACUGGCCAACAUGAAUAUCGUGUCACUAAGACAGAAAAUGGAGUGAAUCCAUCAAUAGAUAACCCCAACCUAAUGUUUCUUGGCUCACUAGAAAAAUCUAGAUACACACUAUCAAAAUGCUUCUAUUCUUCUCCAUCUGAUGGAUGACAUAAAACACCAGGUGGUCUUUUAUGUUCAUAGUGCCAUCUUAUAUGAGGGGCAGAGCUCAUUGACGUAUACAACCUCUUUAACCAUGGUAUAAGGGCUAAGUAGUGCAUCGACUUUAUUGGAAUCUUCUUCCCUUUGUCAUUAUUCACUUCCUUAUAAUGAGGUUGGUUAAAAAAUUUACAAUGUUCUAAAUCUGCAUCUUCCUUAUAGAAUAACAUGCAACCUUUCCCGCAAUAGUGAAUCCUCGCUGAUAAAAGUCCUAACUUAGAAAACAACUUCUUUGUUGUGUAGAAAUCUUUGGGUAAGUCAAAUUUAUUUGUAUUAAGCUCAUUCAUAAGUUCAAUGCUAGAAUACAUGCCCUCUUGAGAAAUAGAAUAAUCUGACUUAAUUCUUAGUAACCUAACUGCAACAGAUAACUUGGAAUGCAUUGACCCUUCAUACAGUGGAUGACUAGCCUCCUUUCACUUUUCAUAAAAGUGGUUAGCCUUAUAAUUUGGUUCAUUUUGAGACCAUGAGUUUUUCCCAAACACAUCCCUAACCAUCUCACUAUAUUGAGAACUUUUGACAUUAUUCUUUCUUAUGGGGCUUCUCUCACCACCAAAUGAAUUCUAAAAAGCAAAAUUAUUAGCAGCAAUACUCUCUCCAUGGGCGAUCCACACAGUAUACUUCAACAUAAAUUCAUUCUUUUAAAGAUGUAACUUAACAAAAUUUGGACUCAAUAACUUGGAACACUUUUAUUUCAGACAAGGACACCUAAUUGUCCGUUCAAUAAGAAAAUCAUCAAGGGUCAUUGCUUUAGAAAUAAAUCCAGCUACCCCAUCUUUAUAUUCCUCCCUCGACCCUGUACGGUUAAGAUAUGUUCUAUUGUACAUCCAUGUGCGAUCUGCAUUUUCCAUCUACACAAGAAUGACAACAAUAACAGUAAAAAAGAGAAACAAAAGCAGGAGAACCAAAACAAUGAAAAUAGGAUUAAAAACACCAACAAUAGUUAUAGUAAUAGUGAACACGGGACAAUGAACAGAUCAUGUCAACAUUUGCUACUUGUUGGUUUAAGAAAAUACAUGUCCAGAAUUUUUAUAGUAGUUGAAAACAGAUCUUUAAGAGUGCUAGUCUUCCAAAAACUAGAGAAAGAGUAGGUGGUUUUCAAAGAAAUAACAUGGUAAGGUUUUUCUAGUUAACAAAAAUUUAUGGACAAUACCUGCGAAAUCAUAAACAAUACCACCAAGUAUAAUCCAAGUACAUUACUACAACUCAACUCAAUAAAUUUUCACUUUCUGAAAUGUAAAUCAUAAUACACUCAUUGAAGAUACAUUUUGCUUUUAAUAGACGUGUCUACCCUCCGGUAUUCAUUUCUGGAAGCAUAAGAAAUGAACAAAGCGGAGGCAAUGCACUCCUAAUAGAAAUAGUACUUGGGCAAGGAAAGCAAAUUCCUAUGUGAGUUACAUUGAAUAAGACAAAGUAAAAAACUACAAAAACAGAGCGCAACUCAGAUAUCUCAGGUGUCCUUCAUCUUCAACCUGAAAGACAAAGAUAAAGCAAAAGAUUUACUAUACUUAAAUUGCACAUGUGACUAAUUUGGUUUGUUACCAGUUUGUUUAAAUCUUUAUACCUGUAAUACCUACUUAUUUGUAUCUCAACUAAUCAUUUGAUAAACCCGUGUAUGAAAAGUGGGGCAGAUGAACUAUUAUAAACUUCAUCAUACAGAUAAAUUUGCACUAAAACUUUGACAACCCAACCAUGCCUUUGGAACUAAUUCCAUUUUCUUACCAAUAUUAAUGCACAUAACAAAUAUUUUAUAAACAUUUGCAUUACAAAAUAAAGCAAAUUUAACAAUCUAUUUAGCAUAACUGUUCACACAAACAAAAAGCCAAUAUAGAACUAAAUGAUAUACACAUAACCAAAUCCAUUUCCUCUCCAUUACUUUUAGUUUCGAAUCACAACAGUGAUUCAAACCAGCUUGAUCACACCCCAACUAAUCAUUUGAUAAACCUACCCACCAAAAAUUGGGGCAGAUGAACUAACAUUAAGCUUAUUAGAUGGAAUUUCUCCUACAUCUCAACCAUACCUUUGGCACUACUUCCUCUACAACAUUAAAAUACAUAGCAAAUCUCAUCGGAACACUAAAGUUAUGAAAUAAAAUAAGUCUAACCAUCUUUUUGACAUUACACUUCACAAAAUCAGAAUACUAGUACAGAACAAAAGAAUAUAAGAGCAUGAAUAAAAUAGAGCAUUUCAAUGUUAACAUUGUGCCAAGAGUGUGCCUCUCUGGCUAUGCUCAAUACGGCAACAACUACCAUUACUACAUCUCAACCUUAAGCAAUUGGUUGGGGUCAACUAUGUAUAUAUGACAUGACCAUGUUGCUUCAUUUAGCAUAGGCAAAGUUAUAUGUAAUCUUGAAUUUGGAUUCGCAAUAGUCGCAAACACCGAGAAAAAAAGAAGGUUUUGCAUGACUGUUAAUCUGCGAAACAGUUAGCAACCUAGAAAAAAACCAAGUGAACUGAAACAUAAAUCAAGUGUAAAAUUAUUGUGAAUAUAAUUAGAAGAGUGAGCUAGUAUCUCAGUAUCUUUGCAUGACAAUUAAUUUAGAAACAGUUAGCAACCUAGAAAAAGCCAAGUGAACUGAAACAUAAUUCAAGUGUAAAGUUGUUGUGAAUCUAAUUAGAAGAGUGAGCUAGUAUCUCCGUAUCUUUGAGUAAUAGGCAAUACAGAAGCAUCAACACUAUAGUUUAGCUUUAUCUAGCUUGUUUUCACCUUGACCAGAAUAUUAAUUACUUUCUGGAAUUGAUGCUUUCAAAGUAAGAGAGUAGCUAGUUUAGCAAAUUGCCAAAGCAUUUACCGAGCAAGAGUAGAUAUCGUAAAAAUAAACAAAACAAUUCUCUUGAUAUGUAGCUAGUUUUGCUAUCAAGAAUGCUAUUUUUGCACAUUUCCAAUGAGUUAUGUAAGCCCAAUAGAUCUUACAAAAAUCAAUAAUGUAAGGCCUAACUUUCUGUGGAGUUCAGGAAACUUGAGGGGCCUUUUAUUUGCCACCAAGGACUUUGGCGUAUCACAAAAGGGCUCAAACCCCUCACCAAAGCUGUUUUCUUCUCCAAGUUAAACUCACUCACUCUUUAUGGAACUUCAAGCUCAUUGCCAAAACAAUAAUGGUGGUUUCAACUUAAAUUCAUGAUGGGUAUUUAGACUUCUCCAAUUUGACACCUAAUUACUCAAGCAUUAACGAAAACCCAAAUUCACAACAAAGUCCUAAUUUUGAUUUCUCACUCAAUUCUUACUCUAUUAAUCCAGCGGAGGAAUUCAUAGUUUCACAUAAGAAAUUAACACCUAGACUUGCUUAAUUUCAUGGAAUAACUAAUUUUUCUUUUUCUCAUAAUUAAUUCCAAAAUCCAACAUUUGGAAGAUUGACAUUCCAAAUCCACUACGACCAUCCCAUCACACCCUACCCACCUCUCCAUAACCCCCAAAACACAAUGCAACCCCAAUCAAAAACCUAAAUAGACGCCCAAUAACAGAAUUAAUCAAAAAUAAAAUAAAUGUAAGUUUCAACUCACUGUCGCAGUGCCUUCACCACCAACAAAAAGGGCCCAAUACUACCAACUCACUGUUGCCGUCACCACCAAAAAUCCGCCAUCGCCGCACUACCGGAAUGCUAAUACCCUAGUUUAGAGAGAGACAGAGCAGUGAGAGAGAGGGUAGUGAGAUUUAUAGAGAGAGGAAAUUUCUUACAAUAUAAAUGAAAUAUUUAAAUUACAUUUUUUUACAAUUAUUUACUAAUUAAAUAAUAAUAUAUUUAAUUAAUUAUUUAAUAUUUUUGACUACUGAGUUCUGGUAAAUAUAUAAUCAUAUAUUUGAUUAAUUAUUUUUAAAUUUUUCGACUACAUAAGUUGAAUUAUAAUUCUAUUAUUAAUUAAUAUUCUUAAAAUAUUCUGAUUGAAAUGAUGAAAACAUUUGGUAAAAAUAAGAUUAACAAUUUAUAUAUGCAGUGAUCGACUACUGUAGUUGGAAUAUAUUUCCAAGAAAUUAUUGCCAAAUCUUAUGGUUCUUGUUGUCAGAAAUAAUAUCAGACAUUUUAUAAAAAACAAAAAUUAAAAAUUAAAAUUUUUAAUUAAAGUAGUCGAAAAUUUGAGAUUGAUUUUAUUUCGUGAGAAUUUUCAAUAAAAAAAUAUGAAUUUCGAGUAGUGCACCGCCUUUUGGCUCAAGGUAUUCGCUACCACAUUUGCCUUGCCUGAAUGGUAUAAAAUGGAAAUUUCAUAGUCAUUUAGAUUGUGAUUCUUCUAGCUCAAAAUGUACUGAAGGAUAUGAUCAUAUGUAAAUAUCUCACAGUGAACACCAUAAAGGUAGUGCCUCUAAAUCUUAAGCGCGAAAAUUACUGCCACCAACUCUAUGUCAUGGGUGGGUAGUUACGCUCAUGAACUUUUAGUUGUAUAGAAUAAUAUUCUAUCACUCAUCCCUAUUGCAUCAGAACAAAACCUAAAACAACACUUGAAGAAUCACAAUUGACUAAAAAAUCUGGCCUUCAACUAGAAUAGUCAAAAUUGGAGAUAAGUUAGUAAGACCUAGAUCUUCAGAAAGCUCACCUCACACUCACCGAACCAUUGCAAUGAAAUAACCUUCCUAUUUAAUAUGAUCAAUAGCUCUAUAAUAAAAAAUAACCCAUCAAUGAACCAUUUGUUGUUACCUACCAAUGCAAUGAAACCGCAAACCUCAAUAGGAGAAGUGGGUCUAGCCCAAUCAUAAACUACCUUAAUCUUCUCAGGGUCUACUAUAAUUCCUUUUUUUGACAUUACAUUCCCUUAGAAUGCUACAAAAUCAAACCAAAACUCACACUCUAUGAACUUGGUAUAAGGCCCCUGAUUUGUCAUAUUCUAGAGCAUAAUACUCUAUUAUUUCUCAUGCUCUUCCCUACUCCUCGACUAAAUAAGAUGUUGUCAAUGAAUACUAUCACGAGUGACUCGAAAUAGGGCUUAAACAUAUGGUUCAUCAGGUUUAUGAACAUUGUUGGGGAAUUGGUCAACCUAAAAGACAUCACCAGGAACUUGUAAUAGUUGUACAAGUUCGAAAGGUUAUCUUAGGGAUGUCUACCACCCUAAUCUUCAACUGACAGUAGCCAAAUCUUUAGUCAAUCUUUUAACAAAUGAUACACCUUAGAGUUAGUCAAAUAGAUCAUCAAUACAUGGCAUUUGAUACUUAUUUCUUAUAGUUACCUUAUUCAGUUGUCGAUAAUCAAUACACAUAUGCAUAGAACCAUCUUUCUUCUUUACAAAUAGAACAGGAGAACCCUAUGAAUAAUUACUUGGUCUGACGAAACACUUCCCUAGAAGCUCCUGAAGCUGAACAUUAAUCUCUGUCAAUUUAGCAGGGGCUAUAUGAUAAAGUGGAACCAAAAUAUACCUAAUUCCCAAAUCAACAUGAAUAGAAAAGUCAAUAUCACACUCAGGCGAGAGGCUAGGUAAGUUAGUAGAAUAGACAUUAGCAAACUCAAGAACCACAAGAAUAGAAUCAAGGGAAACAGUGUUGGCACUAGUAACUGUACUUAAGUAAGAUAAGACAAACACCCCUUCGAAACCAUCCUCAUUUCCUAAAUGUAAGAAACAAUCCUUGUCGAUACAUGACUAUUAAAACCCACAACAUAGGUACGGGAAUUCCAGACGUAACUAAGGUAAUAGUUUGGCUAAGCAAUCCAAGACUGUGAGAUAAGGGUAUAACAAGUUGAUGCAUAUAAUAGCAUCAAAAUCAACCUAGUACAGUGGCUACACAUAUAGACAAAUAACCUGACCCAACCUGGGGCCUUAUCGUAACGGGUAUCUGGAGUCCAACUUGGAUCGGGGGCUACCCCCGAUACCCAACCCAACCAUCCAAAUGCAUACCCUGAGUCAGAUGAAUUCUGAACAUAUAACAAGAUAGCAUUUAUUAUGAUACUAGACUCUGGGAUAGGUCUAUAACUGUGACCAAUCCAAGUGAGUCCAACCAUCUAUUACCAACUAAUAACCAUAACCAAACUAAUAUAAAAACCAAGUUCCUUUCUAUAACAUAACAUAAAAGUAUGGAAAAAUCAUAAAUUCAGUCCAAGGGUAUCAGCACCAAUAUCAAUGCUAAUACUAAGACUGACACCAAUACCGACACCACCUAUUCCAACCCAUAGUAGUUACACAAGCCUCUAACCAAAAGAAAAACAAUAUUCAAUUGGGAAAUGACCCCAACCAUAGCCAAAAACAAUAUCCAUAGAACGACCAAAGUAUGUAAAAACAUCUAUGGUAUGAAAUAGAGCCUCCAGAGUAUGAAAGCUCACCACUUCAAUCCAAUAGCUGAUCCUAAAUCCAAUCACUAAGUAAGAGGAGUAGAAUGGCUAGUUCCUACAUUGCGUAGGGAUACAACUAUCCGAAGAUGGGUUAGCAGGUGAACGUUACCAUGAAAUUAGGAUAAGGAUAAAAUAAUGUCAUCUAGUAAAACCAGGUAAACCAACCAUAUGCAUACAAACUACACACACAAAAAAACAUAUAUAUAUAUAUAUAUAUAACCAUGUUAGGAAAGAGAGCUGGGUCUAGCAUGCCUUUAAAACCAUUAACUUGGGUAUGUGUAGCUUAACCGUCCUAGAAUCACCCACGUGCUAUGUGUCUAGUGUAACCCCCUGAAUGAUCCCCGAUGCAUGUAGCAGUACAAACUGAAAAUACUAUAAGCGUAAGGGAUUCUCGAGUACCCUUCUAUCUCCAUGAUACAUAUGUACAGUGUACUUAGAGGAUUCCCAUGUACCUCAUAGUAUCAUAUAUGGUCACUAUAACCAACCCUUAUGUGGCAAACAUAAGUUUCCCGUAUCCGUCCAUUGGACUCGCACCCUCACGGUUAGCUAUCACACCCCAACAUUGUUGCUGAAUUAAAACCAUUACCAUCUAACCAAACCAUUAUUCCAUUAUUAUUAAUUAAGGCUAUAAGUAGUGGUAUCAUCAUACUGCCUAUAGCUUGCAAGCAAUGUCCUUAGCCAACCUUUUAUGUAAAGGGAUUCCCAUGUACCCGUAGAUUACAUUAUUAAGUUAACUUGGGGGAAUCCCAUGUACCCCAUAAGUGUCGUAUUAUUAAGUUUUCUUGGGGGAAUACCAUGUACCCCAUAGGUUGUCUAUCAAUAUAUUUACUCGGGGGAUUCCCUUGUACCCCAUAAGAAAGUUUAAUUAACCAUAACCAUGACCACUAAACCUUACCAUUUUAACCAUUCCAAACCAUUUAAACCAUUUAUACCAAUUAGGGUUCCAUUACCAAACCAUACUAUUUAAUAGUUCCAUUAAAAAUCUAAUAGUCUAGUAAAAGCAUUCUCAUAGAUAUUUUAUCAAACACAUUGGGGGAAUAGUGUUUCCAAAAUCAAAACCAAAACCAAGUUCCAAUUAACCAUUCCCAUGCUAUCAAAUGUUCAAACCACCAUUAAAACAUAUAAAUCCAUAAUUAAAACAUGGAAAAACCAUAACCAAGCAUUUAUAACCAAAACCCCAUCAUAUAGUUAAAAACCCAAAACCAUACAUAAAAUUCUGCCAUGAAAACAUUGUAUAAAAUAUGCAUUUAUUUGGAACUAACAAUGAGGAAGGAGUAAUAUUCCUUAGAUUAUGAAGACAAUGGAGAGAAAUUACUUGUACAAGUCCCAAAUUGAUCCUCUAGAUGAAACCCUAGCCUUUCUUUACCCAAGAGUCAUAGAGAGAAUUAAAGAGUGUUUCUAAGUGUUUAAGUUUAGAAUAAUAGGGCAAAUAAUAUCCCAAAAGAGUUAUAAGUCAUGGGGCCUUAAGAGGUUAAGUAGGGAAAUAUCCAAAUUACACCUACUUAAACUGCUUUAAAUUCUCAUCAGAUGGUACGACUACCCAUACCUGUCAUACCAUCUAAUACAAGUUGUCUCCACCACUCGUACCCUAGGCCUCCCCCUUGGACCCAGCACUAUCCACUAUAUGACUUACCUAGCACAAGUCAUACAUAACCAUAUAAUCAGUACCCCUAAACCAUAUCCCUGGCAAAAUAGAAUCAAAGGAGGUUUGAUCACUGUCUUCCAUAUGAGUCAGUAGUAUGAAUUAUACCCUAUCUCAUUGCUCAUGGUGAGCCACUCAUACUCAGACCCAACUUAAGUUACUAAGUCUUAGAUUAAGUAAAGGAAAAACCCAUCACUAACCAUACGACUUGUACCUACCAAGUCGUACCCAUUCCAGAAACUAAUCCCACCUACUAACCAACACUAGUUAGUAUACGACUAAGAUUAUACCAACUGUACCCUACCAUAUGGCUGGUACCCAUAAGUCGUAUAAUGUCUAGAAACUAAAAAUCCAGGAAAUUUUCUAAGGGUCUAAACCUAGGGUGUUUUAUCCAAAGCAAAGGUUCUCUAAUAAUCCCGAACUAAGAAGAAAAAUAUAUCAUCACAUAAUAAUAAAUGGAACUUAAGUCAAAUAAAAUAAAAGCUAACAGUCAACACAUUGAAAUCAUACUUGUGAUUACUAAGUUAGAUGGCUUUGCUUUGGCCUACAAGAAAAUGCAUAUAACUAUCCGCGCCCACUACCAAACUAAGAACCUAACCAACCACCUAUAUUUCCUGACAGACCACCUCCACAAGGACCCUGAGAACCAUCCUUAAUGCUUUAGAAACCACCUUUAGCCUAUGAUAUUCUUGAUUUUAGAGGCUAAGUUUUUGUUUUGAAUGCUCGAUUAUCUCAUAUUAGGGACACUCUUUAGAAAAAUUACUAUCAACUCCACAAUAUAGAAAGACCAAGGUAUACUACUGUAAUGAGAUGAACUGGUUGAUCCAAACUGACCACCAUGACCUAAAGACCCAAAAUAAGAAUCUAAUAAUGAAUGAUUGGAUCUCUGACCACGAAAAUCACUAUAAUAUGGCUGACCAUUAUCAGUAAUCUAAGUUAUUUUUGAACCAACUAGAUAUAACCAUGUUGCUAAUAUUACUGGCUAUUACCAGGGAAACCCCUACCACAGAACUGCGAUCCAGUGUGACUACCACUGAAACAACUCUAAUGAUGGGGUAUUUUGUCAUUGCCCCUAUGGGCCUAUAGAUACAAAUCCAUAAUAGUGCAGGUAUGAUUAAUAAUCUAAGAAUGAUAGACCUAAUGAUACCAUGCUCUUAGUAGAUAGAUGAAGUUGCAGUCUUAAUCUCCUAAAGAAGCAACACACUCUCUCAUGUUUAGUAGGUAGAAUACUAGUAUCAUGCUUUGCUAACUUAUUAACCUAGACUUAUACUUGAAAACAAUCAUGGAACCCUACUCCAACCUCAAAAACUCAUUCCUUAGUUUCUCAUAUACACUAUGGGGUAUAUACUUCCCUAAAUAGCCUCACAAAACUUAUAAAGACUUGAUUUUUGUGAAUUAUUCACUUUUAUGUGAUUUGACUAUUUUAUCCCUUAUCGUGGUUGCUUUGUGGUAUUUCUAGGGUGUGGGUAUAAUCUACCUAGUUCCCAAUACUUUUCAAUGUGAUUUGUGUGAGUUUUAGUUUUUCAAGGUUUGACUUUGGUCAACGUUUAUUAUUUUAUGCAUUAGAUGGUAAAACAGACUAUGCUAGUAGAUCCAGAAUAUCGAUUUACAUUGGUAACAUAGUUGGUGUGAUUUUAUAUCUCAUUUUUAUCCUCAUAUUGAGAGGUUGUGAAAUUAGGUCUCGAGGGUCAAUUUUUUUAAUAUGAUAUUUUUUUCAAAAAUAUGAUAUUUCAUUAUGUCUGGAGCAUCAAAUUUGAUAGGGUAGCAUAGUUCAUUUACGUUCUUGGGAUUUUGGAUGAAUCUUGAGGGGUUGAUGGAGACUUGGAAUUCUCAAGUCUCCAAGAUGCUCCAAUUAGUUAGUGCAUCUCCUUAAGCGACACUUGGCUCUCUUACGCGAAGUCCGCUUAAGUGGCCAGUCUGUCGCUUAAAAGACCUAGCUUCACAACUAAUUUUUGCCUAAGCAAGACCCCCCCUGCUUAAGCGAUGCGUACAGAUUUGGCGGAUACCACCUAAGAGGUACUUGGCUGCUUAAUCGGUGACUGCUUAAGCUGUCCAAUAUCCGCUUAAGCAAUACCUGGGUAAUAUAAUAUCCCUUUCAUGAUUUUUUCCCACCAUUUUGAGACUUGGAGAUUGUGUUUUAGAGUUUUUGGGUAAUUUCUUAUAUUUUCAAGCUUGGGUAAGCUCCUAAUCCCUAUUUUUAUUAUUUUUAUUCGAUUCUUGUCAUCUAAUGCUUGUUAAAACUCGAUUUCAAAUGUGAAAUUUGGAAAUUUUGGCCCGAAAAGCCUAAAUUAGUAUUUCUUCAAUUUAAACCCCAAUUUCAAUUCGUUUUUACUUGGGUUUUCUUCUAUGGGUUCCUUUAAUAACGGAUAAAACAUUUUUGAAAUAAAAUUCUAGUUUUACCUUUAUUUUUUAAAAUCCAUUUUGGGGUUUUGUUUUGAUGUCAACUAAAAAAUGAGCAAUAUAGGUAUCAUUGGCUUUAUUUUAAUGCAUAGAUCCUAUAUUUCUAUGUUUUAGUUAAUUUCAAGUUCAUUCAUGAGGGGAAGGUUCCAUGUCGAAGACUUUUGGAUUGGGUAUUCUACAUUCGAGGUUGGUUAUGGCUUAACUUUCUUCAUAUUGGGUUAGGUAGUUAAUACUUAUAUAAAAGUAUGUUAUGUGUGUGGGAACUAAUCAUAUAGAUGGCUUUAUUACUAUUUUGUACUCGUGUGGGGGCCUAUGUUGUUAUUUUGUGGUUUUGAGACAUUUUUGUCGCAACCCAAUUUCUCAGGUCAUAAUGGCACAUACUAUAACCCUCCAGUAGGCAAGUCAACCCUAUAGUCUUGAACUACUAGUAACGGACUACCAAGAGAAUAAAGAAAAAAAAAUGCAGAGUAGAUGUAAUAAAAGGCUAACAUACAUAUGUUUUUCCCAAAAUCUGGUGGAAUCAGUACAAGAGCUUCUACAAUUAAUGAGGAUACACAUGAGAUACUAAAUGAAUAUACAAAUACAACCAUCUCUGAAUACAACAUAGAGACUAGUCUAGUACAUAUGAGGGAGAAAAGAAAUACUUCGAAUGUAAGGAGCUCACCUUGCAUCUCCAAACCAUAGCUACUCUGCACGAUCCACACAACAAUGAAGAUAACCCAUACUAUGAUCUACAGGUUGUAGAAGUAUAGUAUCUGCACCAAACACGUGGUACUUAGUGAGCAACUGUCGACUAAGCUCCAAAGAUAAAGCAAUUAUAUAUAACAUAUAAACAGUAAGGUAAACUACACCCAAAUAUCCAACAAUCUUCAUAAUAAAGCUAAUGAGAUAAAAUAGAUAAGUUAUCCAAUUCAUGUCUAAGAAACUAACAUAAGAAGGCUAAGAAGGUAUUAAAGAUGAACUAUCCUAUUCUAGCCAUACUCAAGAAACUCAACAUUAUACCGUAUAUCACUGACCAAUAUAAGAAUAAAGGGAGAAAGAAGGAUGUAUAAUGGUAUACAAGGACAAGGAAUGAAUAUAUUGAUGGAUUUGAUUAACCGUGUGUUCAGACUUUAUUUGGAUUCCUUUAUUAUUGUGUUCAUCAAUAACAUCCUUGUGUAUUCGAGGAGUAAAGAAGGGCAUAUACACUAUUUGUGAAUUAUGCUCCAGACUUUAUGGGAUCCUGUUCUUUUUGCCAAGUUUGCUAAUUCUGAGUUUUGGCUAGAGUCAGUGACAUUCCUUGGGCAUGUGGUAUCUAAUAAUAAGAUUAUGGUAGACCCAAUGAAUAUUGGGGCUAUUCGUGGGCUAAACCUACAUCUCUGAUGGAGGUUUGUAGCUUUAUUUGCUUGGCUGGUUAUUAUAGAUGAUUCAUUGACGGUUUUGCUACUAUUCAACAUCAAUGAUAAGAUUGACUCAAAAGGAGGUUUCUUUUCGAUGGUUCAAGGAGUUUAAGUCGAUCUUUGGUAAGCUCAAGGAGCUUCUUAUAUCGGAUCCUAUUUUGGCUUUUCUUAUUAAGGGUGAGGGAUUCAUCAUAUAUUGUGAUGAUUUUAGUGUUGGUUUAGGUUAUGUAUUUAUGCAUUCGGGCCACGUUAUUUCUUAUUCUUUGAUGUAGCUUAAGGUGCAUGAGCGUAACUAUCCUACUUAUAUUUUGGAGUUGGUGGUAGUAGUUUUCACGCUUAAGAUUUGGAGGCAUUAUAUUUAUGGUGUGUAUUGUGAGAUCUUUAAUAAUCAUCGUAGUCUUCAGCAUCUUAUGACCCACAGAGAGCUUAAUUCUAGGCAACGUUGAUGGAUGGAAUUGCUUAAGGACUAUAACAUUUCCAUCUUGUAUCAUCCAGGCAAGACAAAUAUAGUAGCAGAUGCCUUAAGUCAAAAAGCAUUAAGUAUAGGUAGCUUGGAUUGUAUUUUAGUUUCUCAGAGGUCAUUUGAAGGUGAUAUUCAGUACUUAGCCAACUUGAUGGUUAAACUUGAUAUUUCAUACCCUAGGAGGAUUCUGGCUAGUGUUGAGGCUAGGUCUUCACUAUUUGGGCAUAUUGGGGAUCGUCAGUUUGAGGAUAAUAUACUUUGCAUCCUUUGUGAUCAAGUGUUGAGUGGUGAUUUUGAGAGGGCCAUCCUAGAUCCUGAGGAUGUUUUGAGAUUUGAUAGCCAUAUUUGUGUUUCAAAAAUUUAUGAUUUGAUUCAGUUAAUUUUGCACGAGGCUCAUAGUUCGAGUUUGAGUAUAACUAAUAUGUAUAGAGAUUUGAGAUAGCAUUAUUGAUGGAGAGGCAUGAAGAAGGAUAUGAAGUAAUUUGUAGCUCGUUGCCUAUGUUGCCAGUAGGUAAAGGCCAAACAUCAACAACCUGGUGGAUUGAUUUUGAGAUUACCCAUUCUCGAGUAGAAAUGAGAGCGAAUUAACAUGGACCUCGUUAGUAGUUACCCGUACAUCCCCUGGUUCUGAUGUUAUUUGGGUCAUUAUGGAUCGGUUGACCAAGUCAGCAUAUUUCAUUCCUAUUCAGAUGUCCUUCAGUGCCAAUAGGUUAGCCUGUAUCUAUGUGCGGGAUAUCAUUCAUUUGCAUGGUGUGUCUAUAUCUAUCAUUUUAGAUUGGGUUUCAUGUCUACUUCUAGCUUUUGGAGAGCUUUUCAGGAGGAGUUGGGUACUCAGGUGGAUCUUAGUAUGGUCUUUCAUCCACAGACAGAUGGCCAGUUCGAGCAAAAUAUUUAGGUUCUUGAGAAUAUGCUCCGAGCCUAUGUUAUGGAUUUUGGAGGUUAGUGGAAAGAGAACUUAGCCUUAGCAGAGUUCCCCUAUAAUAACAGUUAUUAUUCGAGCAUUGAGAUGCCACUUUUUGAGGCCUUGUUUGGUAGGAGAUUUUAUUCUCCAAUUGGAUGGUUUGAAACUUUCGAGAUUUGACCCCGUGGUACUGAUUUGCUUCAGAAGUCAUUAGAUAGAGUCAGGGUGAUUGAGGAUAGGUUCAGAGCAUCUUAGAGUGGACAGAAGGCCUAUGCAAACCGUAGGCUUCAUUACUUGAGAUUUAGAGUUGGUGAUCAAGCAUUCCACUAUGUAUCUCCCAUGAACGAUGUGAUAAGGUUCUCGAGGAAGGGCAAGCUCAACCUCAGAUAUAUUAGGCUUUUUUAGAUUCUCCAUACAAUUUAUGAGGUGGCUUAUAAGUUAGCCUUACCUUCAAAUUUUGUGAUUAUCUGUCUAAUUUCUAUGUUUUAUUGUUGUGGAGAUACAGCCCUGAUCCAUCUUAUGUUCUUAGAUGGGACUUGGUCCAAUUGGAUGACCAGUUACCCUUCUUCGAGGAGCGUGUUCUUAUUUUUUCUAGUGAUGCCAGGCGAUUUCGCACUAAGUAGAUUCAUGUACUUAAGUAUUAGUGAAGGCACUAUCCAGUAAAUUAGGCUACUUGUGAGAUCAAGAGACAGAUGCAGACCUAGUAUCCUUACCUAUUCGAGACUUCACGUAAAUCCUAGUCCUUUUUUUGUGGAUGAAAUUUCCUUUAGUAGUAGAUAUUGUAAUGACCCUUCAGUUCAUUCCCAUAUUUCAACUUGUUUUCACCAUUAUAGCUUCCCUAAGUUAUUUAUGACUUGUUGGGACUAAUGUUUUGGUCACUAGAUAGUUCUUUUAGUUUUAAGAGCCAAUUCCCUGUUUUGAAGUCUUUUCUUGUUCAAAAUGGCUACCGGGCAAAAACAUCGAUCAAUCAAUCUCAUAUCCUAAUUUUGACUGUUCCAACAGCUUUGGAAUGUCAAUUUUAGGUUAGGUAGACCCUUGGUUCGAGUCUCGAGGCACUCAAAAUUAUUUUGACCUAUUAUUUAAAAAAUUUUGAAAAUGGAAAUUGGUAUGGGGCCCAUUUUUUAUUUAAAUAACCUCGGAUGGAAAUUUUGACUGCACCAUUGAGUUUGGAAUGUUGAAUUUGAUAGGGUAGUAUAGUCUAUUUACAUAUACGAGAUUCCAGAUAAAUAACGAGGGCUUGGUGGAGUAUUAGUUGUGCUGGUGCAAUCACCAAUAGCGAUGCCAAGGGUCGCGAUCGUGAUACCCUUGGCAUGCACCAAGUGCAGAGAAUGUGGUUCCAUGUCAUGAUAGAAACUCCCUAGGCUGACCGACAGAUGUCGCGAUCGCAAAGGUCGGGUCACAAUUGCGAUACCCGAACACUUGGGAAGUGUAUAAAUAGUUUUCUUUUAGCCUCUUUUUGCUCAUUCUUCAUGUAUUUCUUAGUGUGUUAAACCCUAAAUGUUAAGAAAGCUUAGUAUUAGAGCUUGUGGGCAGUUUGGGGAGCUUGGAUAACAAUUAUUACGUGAUUUUUCUUUAAAUUUAAGAUAAGAUUCCUUCUCAUUCAUGGUUGAUUUUCUCAUUUCUUGUUCAAAAUCUCUAAAACUUGAUGACUUGAUUUUAGCGCCAAUGUGGCUCGAAUAUAACCCAUUUUAGGUCAAUUACUUAUUGAGCAUAGUGUAAUAUUGGGUUGGCUUUGAAAAUGCAAUUUCUGUAAAUGGGACCUACAUGGAAUUUUUUGGGGAUUUUUGGACCCGAAGCACAAUGGUGCUAUAUGGGUAUCAUCAUUCUUGUAUUGAUGAUUAUAAUAUGAUUUUGAUAGCAUGGAAUCUUUUAGAAUCUUCUCAGAAGGGAAAGUCAGUGAUUUAGCAGAUUUUCGAGCUUUAUUCGGCAUCCUGGUAGGCUAGGCUUCAAUCUCCUUAGAGAUUGAGCUAGUUCAUAAUAUGUUUAUGAUAUCAUAUUUAGAUUUGGGAUGGGUUUUUUAAGUUGGUGAUGUAAUUGGAAACACUUGGGUUAGUUGGACCAUUUAGGCUAUUCGAAAACCAUAAUUUGGGCAUAAAUGACUUAGUUGCUCUUGUUUUAGGUAACAUUUCUAUCUUAGAGUUGAUGAGGCUUAGUUAAUAACUGAAAGUGAGUUUAGAUACCUUAGCCUAGUUUGGGGUAUAAAUUACCUUAAAUUGUAAUUCAGGGAUUUAGAGAUAGGCCUUUAACUUACCUUAGGCCAAAAUUUGUGUCAGCUAUUGGAAAUCAUUUAUACGUUUGUUGUACGCCUUGAAAAUUCUUAUUGAGGUAGUAUUGAUAAACUUUGGAAUUUGAUGGUCUUGAUGGAUUGGCAUGGAGAUUUUAUGCUUAUUGACUAGGUUAGUGACUAUGUUAUUAAUUAUGCUAUUGGUUAUGAUAAUGAUGGUAUACUUACCGAUUCGAGUUCGGAUAUUAAUGAUGAUCUUAAUGACGUAUAUAGUUGGUUCAAGUCUAAAAUAUGCUUAUGGCAUUACUUGUAUACAUAUACAUACCCAGUUCAAGUUCGAAAGUUUAUUGUGAUACUGAUUAUAUAAUUACCGAUUUGAGUCCAGAAAAUUGUUAUAAUGUUGAUCAUGAUGUUGGUAAUAUGUUAUCGUCGAUGUUGAUACAUAUGAUAUUGGUUAUGUAAGGUUGGUUUAUGUCUAACAAGGGAGUAUGAUAUAUGGAUAAUAGGUAUAUUGAUGCUAGUUUGGAAAUGGGAAAUUAUUAUAGUAUAGCAUGAGAUUGAUGGAUUCUAGCUAUACAUGGAAGUUCAGAAAUGAUGAUGGUUUGGUUUACACCUUACUUGGUAGUACCCUCCAAGCUUAUUGGGGCCUGCAUCAAAUUAUUUACUUUUUUGUACCUACUGGCAUAUGAGGGCCAAUUUUGUAGUUAUAAUUACAUGCAAUUGAUCCUUUAUGUUAUACUAUUAUACCAGCUAUUUACUUACUUAUGUACUGUGAUAUUGGAGUUGAUUCAGGUUUGCCUCUACCUUGACUUAGUUAUGUUAUCUUGCAUUUUAUCAUAUUCGUAUCAUGAAUUAGCUCAGUCGGCCGAUGAUACCUACUUAAAACUAGUGGUUUUGGUACUCAUACUACACUUUUGUACCUUUUUUGUGUAGAUCUAAGUACUAGAUGCUAUCGUUGAUUCAUCGAUCGUGCUAUGUGGGAUUUCAAAGAUAGGGUGAACUAUUAGAGUUGGAGUUGCCUAUUUCAUUCUAUCUUAUUCUAUCUUAUUUGUGUCUAGUAUUUUGCUUCGAGACAGAUUGUAUAGACUAUUUUAGAACAUUAGUUGUAUUUAUAGUAGCUCUUGUACUGGCUCUACCAGGUCUUGGGAUGGUUAUCUGAAUUGUUUCCUAUCUUUUAUAUAUAUUUCUAUUAUUUUCCUUAUUUAUAAAUUAAAAAAGUUGAACUGUACCUUUAUUUGCGAAUAUUCCACCAAGUUAGCCCAUUGCAACUAGCUCCGGGCUAGGGUACUGCUUACCUACUGGAGGGAUUUGGUAGGUUCCAUCAUGACUCAUAAAUUGGGUCAUGACAAAGAGGUAGUAGAUCAACUCUGGAAGCAUAGAUUGACUGCUACCUUAAAAAUACUCCAAGCAUUACCCAAAAUCAACUUUCCCACGGCACACUCAUACCUAGAUUUUCACCAAAAGGGCACAGUAGGUAUGAGUAUGGUCUAUUUGAACUCAGUAGAUAUCAUAGGCCGACCAAGCAAAGUAGAAAAUAAAGUAUGUAAAUACACACUAUGGGCAUGUCACCUGUAGUCAGAGAAUAUCCCAAACGGUAUCCCACAUCAUCUCCACUUAUAGUUCUAAAAUAUACACAUAUACAGAAUACAAGUACGAGAAUGAAACACAAAUAUAUAGACAUCAAAUCAAGCACAAAAAUACAACAUAAAAUGUACCCAAUGUAUGAAAUACAAUGAAGAUGAUGAUGAUGUGAUAUGUUUGAGAUUGUCGCACAACCUCCAUAUCACCUACUGAGCUCAGCUCCUAAUGUAGGACCCAUGGGGGUUCACAACUCAUAUAUAAUCUAAUAACCAAUAUUAAUAUCCCUCUAAUAUCCGUAACUCUUCUCCAACUCAUGUUUUUUAGUAGAGGUUUUGAAAGAUGUCACAUUUUCUGUCCGAAAAACUAGUAUUUCCACAGUGGUACCAAUGUUUCUUAAAUAUAUAUAUGAUAUGAGGAUAUAAUGCUCACAACCAACAAGAAUCAGAAUUUCCAAAUCUAAAAAAUAUACCAAGCACACUAUCCAAAAAUCCACUAAAUAAGCCAACCAUCCAUGAUCCAAUAUAAUCCAUAUAACAAUAGUGCAAGAUAUAUAAUAAUAUUUCAUUUGAUGCCACAUAAGUUCUAAGUUAGACAAUUUUCACUAAGAAGAAAACAACCAAUUACAUAAAUACUAAACUAACAACAUCAUAUAAGAUCCCGCACGAACAUACAUAACAAAUAAUAUGUAAUGAUCCCCAGUUAUUUCCUCAAUUUGCAUAUAUUUUUGGUAUUUUGAACCUUCCCACAGCUGCUACAUAUCAAUUAUGACUUGCCGGAACUAUCGAUUUGGUGAUCAGACAGUUUAUUUGGAUUUUAGGCUUAUUUCCCCCUUUUGGAGCAUUCGUUGUUUAGGAUUUAGUCACGGACCAAAAAUCCUAGCAGAUGACCUUAGAUGGAAAUUUUGACAGCACUAUUAUCUCUGCAACUUUAGGAGGACCCUUAGUUUAGGUCCCGAGGCUUCUGGACUCAUUUGGGAUAUUAGGCAGAUUAUAUGAAAAAUAAAACUAUAGGUGUGGGCACCAUAUUUAGUCAAAAUAAUCUUGGAUUAAAGUUUUGAUGGUUUUAUUGAGUGCAAAAAGUUGAAUUUGGUAUGGCAGCAUAUUUUUCUUGCACGUAAGGAGUUUCAAACGAAUCCCGAACACCCCGUCGGAGUCCAUUCUGGACUUAGAAAAAAACUGGUGCAUUAGGUAUGGUGUGACUGCGUUCGCAAUGGGUAGAUCAGGAUCGCGGAAUGAGAUUUAUGACUUAAGUUAUAAAGCGCAUAGGGUAUAUAUUAUUUAUGCUUAUUUUUAUAGAAUCUCGAUUGCAAAGGGUAAAUCGCGAUUGUCAUACGCGAUUUACCCUUUUCAGGUCGCGAUCACAAUAGCUGAGUCGUGAUCGUAGCUUCUGACACCAUAUUUAAUCUGCUUCUUCAGCCAAAUUUUCCAACAUUCUUUCCACUACUUUUACACCAUUUUGAGAGCUCAAGGAAGGUAAAAUAAUGGGAAAUCAUCCAAAUAAGCUAAGAUAAGCUAGCUUAAUCCUUUUUCAUUAUCUCCCAUUGAUUUUUUCGUUGAUUCCCAUCUAAAUUCAUGGUAAAUUCUUAGAAAAUAGGGCUUUAAAUUCCUAAACUUUAAGGAUUGAUUUGAGACCUGAUUUGUUCUCAGUUUGUGCUUAACUUUUAAGCACAACUUUCUUGUUCUUUGAGGGACCUAGUGUCAGGUUCAAUUUUGGAUUCCAUUUAUCGGCCCUGCGGGCUCAUUAUUGACUAAAAAUUCAACCCAACCUUAAUAUAAAAAUUUGAGUCUCGUUUUACUCCUAAUGGCAUAUUUUUAAUUUUGAUAGCAUAGAGGCAUUUCAAGAUUGUGGAUUUAAGAUGGAAAUUUUGGAUGAUUUAAGGAUUUAUGUUUUGCCAUCAAGGUAGGCUUCUAUAUACUCUUCUUCACAAGAUAAUGUAUUUUAUAUAUUUCAUGUGAAUGAGAAUGUUAAGAUUGAUUAUUGGUAGAGCAUCGUGACUCAGUCUUGAAUAUUGAAGUUUAGGGAUUAGAUGAGUGAUUUGACCUGUAAGGUAAAAUGCUUACUAUACUUUUAGAGUCCUAUUGCUUUCUUUAUAGAAUAAGCUAAUUUGUAGUAUGAUUAUGGUAUUAUGCUAGAUUUGGGAUGUGGUUUAGGUGUCAGAAGUGUGAUUGGUAUUUUCCUUAUUUGGGCUAUUUAGCUAUCUUGAAACUAUAAUUUAGGUAGAGUUGACUUAAUUGCUCGUGUCCUAGGUGAAAUUUCUAUCUUAGGGCUAAUUAUGGCUUAUUUACCCUCUAAAAGUUAAUUUACAUACCUUAGCAUAGUCUAACAUAGAAAUUGCCUAAGAAUGGAUUUCGAGGAUUAAAAGUGGGUUCAUUUGGCCCACCUUAGGCCAAGACUUGUGCUAGCCUCGUGGACUUAUUUACGUAUGUUAGACAUAGUUGAGACUAUUGUGCCUUUAUUAUAAGGUUACUUUAUGACUAGGUGAAUGGUGAUGCUUUUCCCAGAUUAUGGUUAAUGGCUCGUAGCUAUGAUAUGACUUUUGAAUUUGAUUAAUGAUAUGGCAUGUCGACAUGCUAAAUGGUAUAGAUAUAGCUAUGAUAUGGCUUAUAGAUAUAAUAUAAAUUGUGAAUAUGAGAUUCCUUAUAAAUAUGAGAUGGCUUAUAGAUAUGAGAUGGCUUAUAGACAUGGAUAUUGAUAUAGAUUCCGAAUAUGCUUAAUGUUAUAGCUUAUAGAUGUGAGUCUUGAUAUAGAUUCUGGGCAUGGCCAAGAAUAUAAAUUAUGAUUAUGCUGGAUAUAAAUUUGGACCUUAGGUCGUGAUUAUAAUACUAUAGUUAAUUCAGACAUAAUAUUAGGCCUACGACUGUGUGUAUGAUAUUGAAUGGUUCAGUUUUAGGAAGUAUUCCAUCCUUCUAUAGGAAAUAGUCAUAGUUUAUUGAUAUUAUAAUGCUUAUGAUGUCCAUGUUUGAACACUAGUGAUGACAUGUAUAGAUUCGGUAUAUUCAUGAUCACUAAAUAUGGUAAAUAGUACGAUUCCAACUAAAAUAUAAUUUUAUUACUGUUUUUCCUGAAAAGGGGUUAAAGCCCACAUUUCACCUUAAAAAUGGAUUACUUCAUAACGGAAAAUAUACCAUCUUAAUGGAUGACUUAUGUGCAUUGAGACUCAGAAUAGUAUUGUAAAGACUUGGUCGAGGUAACUUCUGGUCCACAACUUUACUACCACUAUUUACUCUGGUCGAGAGAGAUUAUGACGCUUUCUACAUUCCUAUGAUGUUUUAGUCCCAAAGUAACCCUUGCAAUGGAUUUAUGGAUUUACAUCCUUUUAUCUUUGAUUUUAAUUAUGCAAUUAUAUAUAUACAUAAAUCUGGUAUUGAAUGCAUAGUCGAUGAAUUAUGGUAUUGAUAUAUAUAUAUAUAUAUACAUACAUACCAGCUCAAGUCUGAUGAUUGAUGAUGAUGUUGAUGAUGAUAUGAGUUUUAGAUUAAGUCUGGUGAUUGAUGAUGAUGUUGAUGAUAUAAGUUUUGAAUUAAGCUUGACAGGACAUGAUGAAGUUGAUGUUGAUGAUAUUGUUGAUGUUGAGGAUAUUGAUUAUAAUAUUUAUGUUAUAUAUACAUAUCUACCGGUUCAAGUCUAGAUAUUGAUUAUAAUAUUAAUGAUGAUAUAGUGGUUAAGAAAUUAUGGAUUCACCUCGCAUUUAUUUAUGUAUGUUCAUUGCCUAUCACUAGUAUGUGCCUAUAUCUAUUAGCCAUAUGAAAGGUUGCAUAGGUAUAGGUAUGAGUGCUAUUUGCAGUAUAUUAUGUGGAGCUUGUAUCUAUUAGCCUUAUGAGGGUUGCAUAGGUAUGGUCCAGACUAUUGGUGGCCUGAGUGUUGAUUGAAACUUCUGAGCCUAUGGAGGUGGGGAUUAUGAAAGUCUCGAUUAGGUAUUAUGUGUCUAGAUUGGCCGGUUACUCGUGUUGUUAUUGUUACCUUAGAUUAUUACUGUCAUUAUUAUUAUGGUUAGUCCAUAACAGGUUGACUAUUGGGUUGGUAUUGCAAUUUUAGGUAACUCUAGCUCUUUUACUUUACAGAUUAUAUUUAUAUGCAUAAUUAUCCAUUGUUUAGGCAUUAUUGUUUUGGACACUGAGAUUUUUGUUCCUUUCUUUUACUAUCUCUUCAUUUCAAUAGCUAGCUCAUGUCUAGACAUAUGGAUUAGAGACCCUGAUGAUAUUAGCACUUGCUUCCACUAUGACUAUGAGGACUAAAGAUACUAGUAUGAUGACAUAGGUUAUACCAUGAGUUGUAAUAGGUUUUAUAUAUUUAUAUCUAUAUAUAACUAGCUAUGGUAUUACCAUAUAUCCCCUUUUUCGUUCAUUAUAUACUAUUAUACAUCCUUCUUUCACCCUUUACUAUUAUAUUAAUCUACGAUAUAUGGUAUAAUAUUAAGGUUCCUAAGUAUGGAUAGAAUGGGAUAGUUCAUCCAUAAUGCCUUGUUAGCCUUCUUAUGUUAGUUUCUUGGACACAAAUUAGAUAACUUAUCCUUUUUAUCUCAUUAUCUUUAUUAUGAAAGAUUAUUGGAUAUUUAGGUGUAGUUACCAUACUAUUUAUAUGAUGUAUAUAAUUAUUUUAUCUUUAGAGCUUAUCAGUAGUUGCCUAUUGAGUACCUCAUGUUUGGUACUUAUACUAUACUACUACAGCCUACAGAUCAUAGUACAAGUUAUUUCCAAUGUUGUGUGCAUCAUGCAGGCAACUAUGGUUUGAAGAUACAUGGUGAAAUCUUACAUACUAGACUAGUCUUUAUGUUGCAUUAAAAGAUGGUUGUAUUUGUAUAUUCAUUUAGUGCCUUAUGUGUAUCCUCGUUAAUGGUAGAAGCUCGUACUAAUUUUACCUGGUUUUUAGAUUAUCUUAUGUAUGUUAGCCUUUUAUUAUAUCUAUUCUGCAUUCUUUUCUUUAUUCUCUUGGUAGUCCAUUACUAAUAGUUCUAGACUCCAGGGUUGGCUUGCAUACUGACGGGUUAUAGUAGGUGUUAUUAUGACCUGAGAAAUUGGGCCGUGACAAGUUGGUAUCAGAUCCUAGGUUCACUGGUGUAUUGGUAUAAGAGCUAAGUGUUUAGUAGAGUCCUGCGGAUACGUCCGUAGCCUAUCUUCGGGAGGCUACAUGGUAUUCUUUGAAAAUUUAUUUCUUGACUCUUUAUUGUGUGUUUGUAUUCCUAUAAGCCUCAAGUGCAUUCGUUGACUCUAUUCCAUCCUAGAUGGGUGAUUCAAGGUUGUCAUAGAUGUAGAAAAAAUGUUGGCAUGCAUUUCCAUAGCUUCAGUGUAACGUCAAACCAGGGAGCUAGAGAUGGAUGUCAGAGAUCUUCAACAUUAGUUAGAGGAUUUGAGGCUAACCCAGGUUCCAGUAGAGUUUGUGAUUAUUUCAGCUUUUUGAGAUUCAGGAUUAGGGAUCUCAAUUCUCUUUAUGGAUACCUCACAACUAAGGGUGAUAUCCAAUUAAUCAAGCAAUUCCCAGGCAAUAUUUAGAUUUGUUGGUAUUCAUCAAGGUUUCUUAUUGGUUUUAGAGUAUGAAAGUGAUUUUUUUAAGUGGUCCAAGCAAAAUUCCUAUACUAUAUCCUUCUGAGCAGGACAUGGUGUGUGGAUCUAUUAGAGGAUUAGCAUUGCCACUCUAUUUGGUGUCGGAUCACUUAAUAGAAAUAAGGUCUUCCUUCUCUCAGGUUAUUGAGCAUGCGAGAACCAUAGAGCGAGCAUGCAUUGAGACUUAUGGAGAUGGCAAAAAAAGGCUAUGUCAUUAGUACAAUGCUAUUAGUAUUUCAUAUAGGAGUGUGGAUAUUUCCAAUCGGGCUCUGCAUCACUUGUAGCCUAUUAAUUCUAUGUAAGAGAUGUUUCGGAUUAUGGGUGACUCUUAGGUUAGUCAUGGCGGUCAUUCUGGAUCAGUGUGUGUAGCACUUCAGAGUAUUCUAGGAGAUUAUUUUGGUUAUGGUAAGAUGGUUCAUUGAUCCAGAGUUUCCUUAGCAUAGGAUUAUUGGUUGUUUAACUCAUUCAGAUUAGUCUCAUAGUGUUGUGGCACCCUUAGUUAGAGAUAGUGCACUUAGCACCUCAAUUAAUGAUUUAGUUGAUCAGCCCGAGUUGGACUCGAUCAGAUUUGUUCUCCCUCAAACACAUCAGUCAUAUGACUUCAAAUUCCACCAUGAUUGGUGCACUUUUAUUUCUUGCUCGUACACUUUAUUUAUAUGUAUUGGGGUUUUUGUACCCAUUGAUGAUUAUAUUCCUUAAUCAAAUUAUAUUAGUUGUUGUGUGGCUUGUCAUUGAAUUAAUGAUUAUGUGACUACCCCAUGGAUUAUUUUUUUUAGUAAUGCAUAGAGUUUAUCUGAUGUUGAUAUUUCCUUGGGGAUGAUCAUUUGGCUUUUGGUCCAUUUACCUUGGCAUAUUAGCCUUAUUAUGGCCCUUGAGUGGUACUUGCUAUUGAUUUUCAUUUUUAUACCCCUACUCAUUAUAUUGAUGUUUAUAUUAUUAUUGUUAUUAUUAUUAUUAGUUGAUUUAAUUGGUCCUUGCUUGGUAGAUAGCUAGACUGUUAGCAUCUAGUUAGAAUCUUCCCUAUUCUUUGCGGUUAUUAUUGGUUGACUUGGGUAAGUUAGCUGGGCUGGAUGAUUUCUCUCUUAUCGCAUGGUGAGGUUAGUUAUUUUUCUCUUUUGUUAGUUAUGCUAGACUAGUUGUUGAAUGAAUUAUUAUAUCGAAUAUAAGUUGACUUUUCAUGGUCUGUUAUGGUUCUAGAGUUGGCAAUCUGGUUAAUUUCUCAUUCUUGAGUUUGGGAUUCUUUGUUUUGUUUUCUGGGUUGUGAAGGCUUUUGGCUGUCCUUCUCUAUAUAGAUUAUUUCUGGGGUUGAUUAGUUUAGGGUUUGUUCUUUCAAUUUGGCUAGUUCAUCGCUCGAUAGUAUUUUAAUAAUGACUUUAAGAGGUUUUAGAUUGGUCUUCCAGGAUUGUUGGGUUCUUCUCUUUGGCAUGGUAUUUUGUUGGUGUUGGUGUGGAUUCGGAUACUCCAUUCUCAUGAUAAUGCAAUUCUCAUUCUAGUGGAGUUAAGAGAGUUAAAGAUAGGUGAUAUUUCCUGUGACCACUUCCUAAGUUGGUAAAUUAAAAAUUCUUUAUCUUGAGUUUCUUAGUUUCUGUUAUGGUAGUGGUCUUGACCUUGACAUUGGUGUUGAUCUUGGUACUUUAUUCCUCGAUAAGGUGAUUCAUUUAAGUGAGUUAUGGUUGUCCUACUUUGGUGGAUUCAGAAAAUCCUCAUUUUGGAAUUUGUUUGGCGUAAUAAGACUUGGUAAAGUGCUUCUCCUUGGUUUAAUGUGAUUAGUUUCUGGAUAAGGUUGUUUUUAUUGAGUUUCUAGAGUUGCUGCUGUUGCUAAUGCGAUUUGCCGCCUUAGUGAGUUCCCGAGUAUGUUUGGGUGGUUCAUGCCUUUUAGUAGAUAUGGAUUUGAUUCCUUGUGUUUUCAGAAGGUGAUUAACCCUCUGCAGUGAUUUUGUUCUUCAGCUAUAUUUCAAUUUUUUUUUUAGCAUGAUUCAGUAAGGAUAUGUCUGAUAUAAAUGGUAAGAUAGAUUUGAAUAUUUGUCCUUAAUUGAGGCUUAUUGGCUCAAAUUUAGAUUUGAUGCCUUGGAAUGACUAUUUGGGAGUUAUGAUAGAUUUGGAAUGUGAAUGCUUACCCAUAUUCAGGUUCGGUUUAGGUGGUUGAGAUCGAGUUGUUCAGCCUUGGUGUUGAGAUUUCCGCUUAAAGUUGUAGAGCUUGAGUGCAACCUUUAUUUUUGAAUCAUCUCAGUUAGAAUUUAAUAUAUCUGCUGGCUGAGCCUACUCUGUCUCUACCUAUUCGGUCUUCUUGAGUUCAGAUAGAUUAUGGUCGAUAGGUAUUCAGGUGACAGUCCAUGGACACGGUAUUGGUUCCUUAACUUUUGACUCUAAUUUUUUAAUUUUCAUAGAGAUUUUGGAUAAUUUACUAAGCAAGAGUAGUAUACUUGAGUUGGAUUUAGCUUGGUUUUAUUUUUGGUUGAUGGGACAUCUUGGAUCAGAUCGUUCAGUGAUGAUUAGUUAUGCUUUGUACUUCUGGAUUUCAGUAUUGAAUAUCAUCCUGGACAGUUGUAGCAUUGUCAUAGAUUAUAUACCUUGAUUAUCUCCAUUUGCGUGCCCAAGUAGCACCUCAUGGGCUUAUUCUUAUGAUUGCCAUAUGGAUUCUCAGCGGAUUAGCUUCAGUUCUUUGAGUUUUUAGUAAUUUGAUUGCAUGGACAGGACUUAGAUAACUUUUUACUUUGUUUGGAGUCUUAGCGGGUUUGAAAAUGUAAGAGAAGGUUAUAUAUGGAUUUGGUGUUGGUUAUAUGAAUCAUGCCCUGGUUUGCCUUUGGCUUGGAUGAGCCUUUGUUGGAUUAUACUGGUAUCGGUGUGGUAUUAGCGUGUCAUAGUUCAGAUUUGUGUUCAUCAGCCUUCCUCGGUUAAGUUGAGUUUUAACUGUUUAAGAGCAAGUACAGUAGAUGGUUAAAAAAGGAUACUCAUGUAAAAUCCUUUGGAAGUGUUGUCUCACCUUUGAGGUCAUUUCAGAAGUCUUGCUUAGAGAAUGCAGGUCCAAUAUCUCAUCAUUUUGAGCUUUGGAGAUCUUUCUACCCAUUCACUUUUACAGAGAAAAGUUCUUUUAGUUGUAGAUAUUGCAAUGACCAUCCACGUUAUUUCCUCGAUUUGUAUGCAUUUCCAGCAUUUCAAACCUUCCCAUAGCGGCUACAAGUCAUUUAUGUCAUGACGGAAAUAUCAGUUCAAUGACCAGACAGUUCAUUUAGAUUUUAGGCUUAUUUCUCAGUUUUGGAGCUUUUGCAGUUUAGGAUUUGUUCUCAGACCAAAACUCCUUGUAGAUGACCUCGAAUGGAAAUUCUGAUAUUGCCAUCAACUCUGAAAUGUUAAUUUUAGGCUAGGUGGAUCCUUGGUUCAGGUCCUGAAGAUUCCGGACUUAUUUUGGGCUAUUUGGGCAAAUUAUAUGAAAAAUGAAACUAUAGGUAUGGGUCUCAUAUUUAGUCAAAACAACCUAGAAUGAAAGUUUUGAUGGUACCAUUGAUUUUGAAACGUUGAAUUUUGUAUGGUAGCAAAUUUAGUUUGCAUGUAUAGGGUUUUGAAUGAAUCUCGAACACUAGAUCGAAGUCCAUUUCUGACUUAGAAAAAUAUUUGAUGUAUCAAGUCUGGUGUGACCACAAUCGCGAAGGAUAAAUCACGAUUGUGAAAUUAGAUUUAUGACUUAAGUUGCAAAAUGCAUAGGGCAUAUGUGAUUUAUGCUUAUUUUUGAUAAAAUCGCAGUCAUGAAGUGUAAAUCGCGAUCACCAUACCCGGUUUACCCUUUGCAGUUCUCAAUUGUGAUAUCCGAAUCAUGAUCGUGGCUCCCAACACCAUAUUUAAUCCCCUUCUUCAGCCUAAUUUUCUAACCCUCUUUCCACUAUUUUUACACUAUUUUAAGAGCUCAAGGAAGUUAAAAGAGUGGGAAAUCAUCCAAAUAAGCUAAGGUAAGCUAGUCUAAUCCUUUUUGGUCAUUUCUCGUUGAUUUUUCCUUUGAUUCCCGUCAAAAUUCACGGUAAAUUCUUAGAUAUUAGGGUUUUAAAUUCCUCAAUUUUAAGGGUUGAUUUGAGACCAGAUUUGUGCUUCAUUUGUGCUUAACUUUUGAGCACAACUUCCUUGUCCUUCGAGGGACCUCAUGAUGCAUUCAAUUUUGGAUUCCAUUUACAGGCCCUGUAGCCCCAUUCUUGACUUGAAAUUCAACUCGACCUUUAAUAUAACAAUAUGGGUCUCAUUUUCAUACUAAUGAUGCAUAGAAUUUGAUUUUGAUAGUGUACCAGUAUUUUAAGAUCGUGGAGUGAAGAUGUAUAUUUUGUGCACGACUCAAGGAUUUAUGAUUCGAAAUCAAGGUAGGUUUCUAUCUACUCUUCCUCACAAGAUGAUGUAUUUUGUAUAUUGCAUGUGAAUAAGAAUAUUAAGAUUGAUUAUGGUUAGAAGACCAUGACUUAGUCUUGAAUAUUAAAGUUUGAGGAUAUCGAUUGUAAUAUUGAUGUUAUAUAUAUACACAUCUAUCAAUUCGAAUUUAGAUAUUGAUUAUAAUAUUGAUGAUGAUAUAGUGGUUAAGAUAUUAUGGAUUCAUCUCCCAUUCAUUCAUGCAUGUGCAUUUCCUAUCACUAAUAUGUGCCUAUAUUUAUUAGCCAUAUGUGGGGUUGCAUAGGUAUAAGUAUGAGUGCUACUAACAGUAUAUUGCAAGGAUCUUGUAUAUAUCAACCUUAUGGGGGUUGCAUAGGUAUGGGCUAGAACCAUUGGUUUGUUGAGUGUUGAUUGGACCUCCUGAUCCUAUGGUAGUGGAGAUUUAUGAAAGGCUCGGAUAGGUAUUGUGUUUUUGGAUUGGGUGGUUACUCAUGUUGUUAUUGUUACCUUGGAUUAUUACUGCCAUUUCUAUUAUGGUUAGUCUGUAACAAGUUGAUUAUUCGGUCGGUAUUGUGAUUUGAGGUACGACUCUGAUUCUUUUACUUUGUGAAUUAUAUUUAUAUCCAUGAUUAUCCAUUGGCUAGGAAUUAUGGUUUUAGACCUUGAUAUUUUGGUUCCUUUCUUUACUAUCUCUACAUUUUGAUAGUUAGCUCAUAUCUAGACACAUGAAUCAGAGACCUUAAUGAUAUUAGCACUAGCUUCCAGUAUGAUUAUGAGGCCUGAAGAUGCUAUAUGAUGACUUAGGUUGUACCAUGAGUUGCCCUGGGUUUUAUAUAUGUAAAUUUAUAUUUAAGUAACUAUGGUAUUACCGUAUAUCCCUUUGUUCCUUCAUUUAUUCAAACAACGUAGUUGGGGCAUUAGUCAACCCUAAAGACAUCACUAGGAACUCAAAAUGACCAUAACGGGUCUUAAAGUCUGUCUUCAGUAAAUCCUCAGCCUGAAUCCUCAACUAAUGGUAAUCAGACCUCAAAUCAAUCUUAGAAAUACCAGACCUCAGCCCGAAUCCUCAACUAGCUGCACCCUAAAGCUAGUCAAACAAGUCAUCAAAGUGAGUCAUAGGAUAACGAUUCUUUAUGACAUCGUAUUAAGUUACCUAUAGUCGAUACAAAUACGCAUGGAGCCAUCUUUCAUCCUUAAAAACAACACAGGAGCUCACCAAGGAAACACACUCGAUCUAAUGAAACCUUUACCAAAAUGAUCUUAAAGUUGAGAAUUUAGAUCCUUAAGCUCGGUAGGAGCCAUAUGGUAAGGUGCUAUAUAAAUAGGUUAGGUUCCAGGCUCAAGAUUAAUAACAAACUCAAUCUCACGGUCAGGAGGUAUAACAGGUAGAUCAAUAGAGAAAAUAUUAGAAAACUCACGAACUACAGAAACAAAGUCUAGCGAUGGGUUUUCUACAUUAACAUCACAAAUAUAAGCAAGAUAAGACUCUCAACCCCUUGCUUUAAGUCUCCUAGCAUACAUAUAAGAAAUAUUCCCCAUCAGCUCAUGGCUAACAGCUCCCUGCCACAUGAUCAUGGGUAUGCUAUGUAUGGUUAAAUUAAUGGUAUUGGCAAAAUAAUCCAUGAUCACAUGAUAGUGUGAUACCAGUCCAUACCCAAAGUCAUAUAAAAAUCCAUCGUAUCCCGAAUAAUAAGAUCAGAAUGAGUAUCAGCAUCUCUAACAGUCACAACACAUUAUCUGAACACCCGAUCCACUACUAAAGAAUCACCCCCGAGAGUAUAGGACAUAAAUAAUAAAUCCCAUGAUAACUCUAACCGUGGAUCAAAAUAAGCAAACACAUAAGAAUAAGUAGAUCCUAGAAUGCAAGACAUGUGACAAUAGCGUCUGAAGACUCAACCUUUGGUUUAGAAGGUACUGUAUAUAGCUUACCAUGCUUGCCACUUGUAUUUUCUCCUAAUCGACUACCUCCCCUACUUGCCUGAGAACUACCUCAAGCACUUUGGGGACCACUUCUACGACCAUACGAACCACCUCUAGUUGAGGGAUAAACUACUCUAAUAGGGGGAAUAUUCUGAGCUGAAGCAACAAUUCCCUACUACUAGGGCACUCUCAUAAAUAAUGGACACAACCUCCACAACUAUAUCAUGUCCCAUGAACUAAACCAGGACAAGAAGAUCUAGCUGACCCUGAGUAACCACCACCACUUUAAUAACCAGAAAAUGAACCACUUAAAAACUGACCACUACCCUGACUAGGGCGAUUACUAACACAAGAUUGACCUCCAUUAGCAAUCCGCUGUAUUAACAGGUCUACUAGGCUGACUCUAAGGCUGAUAUGUCUAACGAGAAGGGUACCUACCCUGAGAACUACUACCUCUGAUCCAAGAGAUACUACGACUCCUACUAAAACUACCUUGAUAUUGAGGUAUAUUAUCGCUACCCCCUUGGGCCUCUCCAUGCAUCUCCUCCAUCACCUGAGUGUGAUAAAAAACCUCGACAAAAGAUCUACCCAUAACAAAAAAACUCUAAGUAGACAUGCAAAGAGAAGUCUCAAUCCAUGAACAAAACAAGGGACCCUCUGUUACUUAGUAUCUAGAAUAGAAGUAGCAUGCCUAGACAACUCGUAAAAUCGAGCCUCAUACUCCAUAAUAGUUAUGAAGCCCUACUUCAAUCUAGAUAACUGAUCCCUAAAAUGACCCCUAAGGCUGCAAGGCAUGUAGUUCUCCAAAAGAAGUUCAGAGAAUUGAGCGCAAGUCAAGGGAGAAGAUCCAGCUGGCUUGGAAUCAAGAUGAACCCUCCACCAAUAUUGAGAUACAAAAUCCAACUAAAAAUUAGUGUAAUCCAUACCAUGAGUCUCAACUAGUCCCAAAUUAUGGAGCCUAUCCUCAUAAGCAAUCAGAAACUCAUAUGAAUCCUUGCGCGGUGCACCAGAAAACCUAGGCAGAGAAAAUCUCAAAAAUAUACCCAAUAUUUUCUACUCCUCAACGUACAUGGCAGGCUGGGCAACCACUAGAUGAGAAACUAUCUUCUAAGAAACUACCAGUGUAGGAGGGACCUCAACUCUGGGAGUCAUAGCUAUAGGAUAUGCCUUUGCCUUCGCUACCACUCUGAUUUGUAGACUGUGCACCACGAAAUAAUCCCAAAAGCUGAACCAAAGCAUCUCUAAGUCCUGAAAAAGAAAUAAAUCUUGGUGGAGCUUAGGCUGGUCUUUUGCUCACCACUAGCUGGGGUAGAAGAAUCUCUGGCUCAUAAGCAAGAAUAGGGUCUUAUGAAGGCCUCCUAUCCCGACCUCUACCUAGGAAAACAUUUUGGGGCUAUCCAUGACCUUUGGGUCAUCCACAAAUAGUGAUCGAAUCCCUAAGCUUGGUCUCAAGACCCUUAUCUUAUAUAACGGUAGUACAUGUCCUAGUCAUCUGUGAAUGAGUGAAGCCAAAAGAAUGCUUUAUUAUCCAACCCAGAGACUUAGAAUGAAAUAUGUGAAAAAAGUGAAGGACUCCUAAGAAUGUCCUAUAGCCUCCCAAAGAUAGGAAAUAUACAUCAUCGUUCUGAUCCACUAGACAUACUAGACAUCUACUAUUGUACCAAUAAUACUGGUGAAACCUGGUUCUAAUAUCAAUUUAUAAUGACCUGAUUUAUGAGUCAUUAUGGAAUCUACCAAAUCCUUCUAGUAGGUAAGCUGAACCCUAGCUCAGAGCUAGAUAUAAUGUGCUAUGUUGGUGGAAGAUGACAAACAGUGGCAAAGUUUGACAAUUUUAAUUUAUAAAUAAGGAAAAUAAUGGUAAUAUAUAAAAGAUAGGCAACAAUUCAGAUAACCAUCCCACGACCUGGUAGAGCUAGUACAAGAGAUACUAUAAAUACAAUCCAAGUUCUAAAUAGUCUAUACAAUUUAUCUCAAAGAAAAAGUCUAAAUUUAAAUAAGAUAGAAGGAAAUGGGCAACUCCGACUCCAAUAGCUCACCCUAUCUUCGGAAUCCCACACAACACGAUCGAUGAAUUAACGAUGGAAACUAGUACUCAGAUCUGCACCAAAAAGGUAUAGAAGCGAAGUAUGAGUACUAAAACCACAGGUACUCAGAAGACAUCAUCGACCGACUGAUUUAAUUCAUGAGAUGAAUAUGAUAAAAUGCAAGAUAACAUAACUAAGUCAAGGUAGAGACAAGCCUAAAUUAAAUCCAAAAUCACUGUACAUAAGUAAGUAAAUAGCCAGAAUAAUAACCUAACAUAAAGGAUCAAUUACAUGUAAUUAUAACUACAAAAUUGGCACCCAUUAGCCAAUAGGUGCAAAAAAGUAAAUAACCCAAUGUAGGCCCCCAUAAGCUUAGAGGGUACAAUAAAGUAAGGUAUAAAACAAACCACCAUCAUUUCCCAACUUUCAUGAUACAUCUAGAAUCUAUUCAUAUCAUGCUAUACUAUAAUAAUUUUUGAAUUCCAAUCUUGCAUCAAUAUCCCUAUUAUCCUUGCAUCAUACUCCCUUGCCAGACUUAAAUCUGCCCUCACAUAACCAAUAUCUUAAGCAUCAAUAUCAAUGAUAACAUAUUACCAACAUCAUAGCAUUUUUUUGGACUUGAACCAGUAAUUAUAUAACCAAUAUAACAAUAAUCUUCCAGACUUAAACCGGGUAUGUAUGUGUAUAUAGGCAAUGCCAUAAGUAUAUUUUAAACUUGAAUCGGGUACAUACGUCAUCAAGAUCAUAAAAAUAUCCAGAAUUGAACCGAUAAGUAUAUCAUCAUUAUCAUAACCAAUAGCAUGAUAGCUAGCAUAAUUAAUAACAUAGCCACUGGCAUUAUAAUAGGCAUCAACUCUUCAUGCUAACCCAUCAUGACCAUCAAAUGCCAAAGUUUCUCAAUAUUACCUCAAUAAGCAUUUUCAAGACAUACAAUAGGAUUAAAGGUUUCCAAUAGCUAACAUAAAUCUUGGCCUAAGGUGGAUCAGAGGCCUACCUUUAAAACCCUAAAUUGCAAUUCAAUGCAAUUUAUACCCCACACUAGGCUAAGGUAUCUAAACCCACUUUUAGAUAUUAACUAAGCCAUAAUAAACCCUAAGAUAGAGAUGUUAACUAAAGCAUGAGCAACUAAGUCAUUUAUGCCUAAAUUAGGAUUUUUGAAUAGCCUAAAUGAUUAAUCUAACCUAAGUGUUGCCAAUCACAUCACCAACACCUAAAAACCAUCCUAAAUCUAAUCAAGAUAUCAUAACAUAAUAUGAAGUAGCUCAAUCAAUGAGGAGCGUGAAGCCUAGUCUGGCGUCACUAGCUUAAUAUAUAAGGAGGGUGAAGCCUAGCCUACCUGGACAGUUAUGAAAGCUUGAAAAUCUGCAAAAUUACUGACUUUUCCCACCAAGAAGCUUUUGCAAGAUGACACACUUUCAAAAUCAUAUUCAACUCAUAAAUAUGAGAACAAUAAUAUCCAUAUUGCAUCAUUAUGCUUCUGAUCCAAAAAUUACCCAAAAAUUUGAGGUGGGUCCUAUUUGUAAAAAUUGUGUUUCCAAAGCGAACCCAAUAUUACCCUAUGCUCAAGGUAAUUAUCCUAAAAAAUGGGUAAAAUUCAAGCUACACUGACGAUAAAUUAGGUCACUAAGUUUUAGGAAUUUUGAACAAGAAAUGGGAAAAUCCAUAUGAAUAAGAAGGAAUAUUACCUCAAAUUCAAAGGAAAAUUGCAUAAUAAUUAUUAUCCAAGAUCCCCAAAUUACUUAAAAUCUCUAAUCCUAAGCUUUUUCAACAUUAGGUUUUAAAUCUCUUGAAAUAGAAGAUGAAUGGGAAAAAAGGGCUUAAAGGGAAAUAUUUAUACCCUUCUUAAGUGUUAGGGCAUCAUAAUCGUUACCCGACCCUCGUGAUUGCAGCAUCAACCAAUCUUUCAAGGGAGUCACUAUCGUGACAUGGCACUGUGAUUAUGACACUUGGUUUCUACCAAAGGUAUCAUGAUUGAAAGUCUUCGCUAAGCCCUCGGGAAGCAUCUGAAAUCUCGUAUACACAAAUGAGCUAUGACACCCUAUCAAAUUAAAAAUAAAUAGACUCAAUGGCAUAGUUUAAAUUUCUAUUUGAGGUCAUUUUGACAAAAAUUGGGUCCCACACUCAAUUUUCAUUUUCUUUACUUUUCUACCAAUAGGUCAAAAUAAGCUCAGGUGCCUUUAGACCAAAAACAAGGGUCCACCUAGCCUAAAAUUAGUAUUCUAGAGCUGUUGAAACUGUAAGAAUUUAAAUAUAAGAAUUUUUGACUGAAGUGUUUUUUGGUAGCCAAUUUGAACGAACAAAGACUUCAUAAUAAGGAAUUGACACUCAAAACCAAACGAACUACCUGAUAACCAAACUACCAAUCCCAGCAAGUCAUAAAUGACUUAGGUAGCUUUAGGAAAGUGCUAACAAUAAUAAUAAGUGGAAAUAUGGGAAAUGACCUGGAGGGUCAUUACACUCUUCUUGUUUAUUUUAUGUUUUGUUUUCGUAUUCAGAGAUAUGCUUUUCUCUUUUUAUACUAUCAGUUAUACAUUUUAACUUUGAAAUGUACUUAGUUUUCUCUUACAUUGUGAAACCAGAUUUUAGAGUGAUUUAUGGUAUCUUUAUUAUGUGUUUUUCCACUAUUAUUGUAUAUGUCUGAUUCAACUUUACUCUAGAAGCCUUAACUUGGGUUUUGUUUUUGUUUUUAUUUCUUCAUAUUAGUUUGGGUGAUUGACUUAUUUGUCAAGGCUCAUCGCGAGAAGUGUCAUCAUGACACUUAGUUUUUAGGUGGUGACAAAUUGGUAUCAGAGCAACCAUUUUCAUUGGUCUCAUCAGUUUAAGAAUAGGGUGUCUAUUAGAGUCUCAUAGAUUGGUAUAUAGAUAUCCGUAUCUAUCUUUGAAGGGCUAUAAUAUAUCUUUAGUAAACCUCCCUUAUUUUGUUCCUUAUCAUAAGGAUUCUUUCAUUCCCUAUAUUCUACAUUGAGUUUUACUUUUUUUAAUGCAGAGGGUGAGGACUAGAUCACGUGAGUCUUGAGAUGCAAAGCCAUCAUUCAAGGAGAGAGCCCAGUCUAGGGGUGAGUUAUGGGUCAUGGACAAGAUCGAGGAUAUUCCCCAUCCAAAGGUAGUACUAGAGGGAUCUCCCCUGAGCCUUAGGUUAAGCAUGCUGGAGAGAUGGGGCCUUCUUAGGUUGCACAAAGUUCUUCCAUCCCAAUCUUAGAGAGGUUAGUAAUUCAUUUUUUGACUUAUUUGGAGGGUGUUCCUAAGAGUGCACCUGAUGGUCCUCUAACUUUGAGUAUCAUACCCUCGUCUAUGCUAGAGUCUACCUAUUAUGUUCCUCCAAUUUUGAGUGUGGAUCCUCUAGUGUUACCCAUAUCUAUUUAUGGUAUUUUUAAAACUUAGAGAGUUAUUCCUCUUUUUAUACCGAUAUUCAAGUAUGGUAUUUUGAGAUCAGGGGUUCAACCUUUAUCUAUGUUACCCCCUUAGGUGGGAUCUCAGCCAGCUAAAUUCACUAUGCUUCCUAUUAUUAUGUGUAUAAUUAUGUCUUUGGAGAAUCAAAAGAAGUUUGAGAUAUUCACUCAUUUGGGUUCACACAGGUUUGGUGGUGCUGUAAGCAAGGAUGCCU
rnacentral:lncRNA from 1 species